AUUGAACGCUGGCGGCAUGCCUUACACGAUGGCAAGUCGAAGGCAGCACGGGAGCAAUCCUGGUGGCGAGUGGCGAACGGGUGAGUAAUAUAUCGGAACGUGCCCAGUCGUGGGGGAUAACGUAGCGAAAGCUACGCUAAUACCGCAUACGAUCUAUGGAUGAAAGCGGGGGAUCGCAAGACCUCGCGCGAUUGGAGCGGCCGAUAUCAGAUUAGGUAGUUGGUGAGGUAAAGGCUCACCAAGCCGACGAUCUGUAGCUGGUCUGAGAGGACGACCAGCCACACUGGGACUGAGACACGGCCCAGACUCCUACGGGAGGCAGCAGUGGGAAUUUGGACAAUGGGCGCAAGCCUGAUCCAGCAAUGCCGCGUGCAGGAUGAAGGCCUUCGGGUUGUAAACUGCUUUGUACGGAACGAAACGGUGAGCUCUAAUACAGUUUGCUAAUGACGGUACCGUAAGAAUAAGCACCGGCUAACUACGUG
rnacentral:rRNA from 1 species